rnacentral:rRNA from 1 species
UACGAAGGGGGCGAGCGUUGUUCGGAAUUACUGGGCGUAAAGGGCGCGCAGGCGGCUCUGAAAGUCAGAUGUGAAAGCCCCGGGCUUAACCUGGGAAUUGCAUUUGAUACUCUGGAGCUUGAGUACGGGAGAGGAGAGUGGAAUUCCCAGUGUAGAGGUGAAAUUCGUAGAUAUCAGGAAGAACACCCGUGGCGAAGGCGGCUCUCUGGGACGGUACUGACGCUGAGACGCGAAAGCGUGGGGAGCGAACAGG